rfam:Ictidomys tridecemlineatus contig014261, whole genome shotgun sequence.
GUAGUUGUGGCUCAGUGGUAGAGCACUUGCAUGGCAUGUGUGAGGCACUGGGUUCCAUCCCCAGCACCACA